rnacentral:rRNA from 1 species
GACGAACGCUGGCGGCGUGCUUAACACAUGCAAGUCGAACGGAAAGGCCCUGCUUUUGUGGGGUGCUCGAGUGGCGAACGGGUGAGUAACACGUGAGUAACCUGCCCUUGACUUUGGGAUAACUUCAGGAAACUGGGGCUAAUACCGGAUAGGAGCUCCUGCUGCAUGGUGGGGGUUGGAAAGUUUCGGCGGUUGGGGAUGGACUCGCGGCUUAUCAGCUUGUUGGUGGGGUAGUGGCUUACCAAGGCUUUGACGGGUAGCCGGCCUGAGAGGGUGACCGGCCACAUGGGGACUGAGAUACGGCCCAGACUCCUACGGGAGGCAGCAGUGGGGAAUAUUGCACAAUGGGCGGAAGCCUGAUGCAGCAACGCCGCGUGCGGGAUGACGGCCUUCGGGUUGUAAACCGCUUUCGCCUGUGUCGAAGCGUGAGUGACGGUAAUGGGUAAAGAAGCACCGGCUAACUACGUG